AACGAACGCUGGCGGCAUGCCUAACACAUGCAAGUCGAACGAUUGCCUUCGGGUGAUAGUGGCGCACGGGUGCGUAACGCGUGGGAAUCUGCCCUCAGGUUCGGAAUAACAGUUGGAAACGACUGCUAAUACCGGAUGAUGACGUUAAGUCCAAAGAUUUAUCGCCUGAGGAUGAGCCCGCGUAGGAGUGGCUAGUUGGUGUGGUAAGAGCGCACCAAGGCGACGAUCCUUAGCUGGUCUGAGAGGAUGAUCAGCCACACUGGGACUGGGACACGGGCCAGGCUCCGACGGGAGGCAGCAGUUGGGAAUAUUGGACAAUGGGCGACAGCCUAACCCGGCAAUGCCGCGGGGGUGGUGAAGGCCUUAGGGUUGUAAAGCUCUUUUAGCCGGGAUGAUGAUGGCGGUACCGGGAGAAUAAGCUCCGGCUAAGUCCGUGCCAGCCACCGCGGUAG
rnacentral:rRNA from 1 species